rnacentral:tRNA from 1 species
GGGAUUGUGGCUCAGUGGUAGAGCGCUUACCUAGCAUGUGUGGAGCCCUGGGUUCGAUCCUCAGCACCU